GACGAACGCUGGCGGCGUGCUUAACACAUGCAAGUCGAGCGGUAAGGCCUUUCGGGGGUACACGAGCGGCGAACGGGUGAGUAACACGUGGGUGACCUGCCCUCCACUUCGGGAUAAGCCUGGGAAACUGGGUCUAAUACGGGAUGGGACCAUUCCAUGCAUGUGGGGUGGUGGAAAGUCGGUGCUGUUGUGGUGCUGGCGGUGGGGGAUGGGCCCGCGGUCUAUCAGCUUGUUGGUGGGGUGAUGGCUUACCAAGGCGACGACGGAUAGCCGGCCUGAGAGGGUGAUC
rnacentral:rRNA from 1 species